rnacentral:rRNA from 1 species
CCUACGGGUGGCAGCAGUCGAGAAUCAUUCACAAUGGGGGAAACCCUGAUGGUGCGACGCCGCGUGGGGGAAUGAAGGUCUUCGGAUUGUAAACCCCUGUCAUGUGGGAGCAAAUUAAAAAGAUAGUACCACAAGAGGAAGAGCCGGCUAACUCUGUGCCAGCAGCCGCGGUAAUACAGAGGUCUCAAGCGUUGUUCGGAAUCACUGGGCGUAAAGCGUGCGUAGGCUGUGUCGUAAGUCGUGUGUGAAAGGCGCGGGCUCAACCCGCGGACGGCACAUGAUACUGCGAGACUAGAGUAAGGGAGGGGGGACCGGAAUUCUCGGUGUAGCAGUGAAAUGCGUAGAUAUCGAGAGGAACACUCGUGGCGAAGGCGGGUUCCUGGACAGUAACUGACGCUGAGGCACGAAGGCCAGGGGAGCGAAAGGGAUUAGAUACCCGUGUAGUC